UUUAUUUUCUCUUAAUCUCUUAUGAUAAGAAUGUUUGAUAUUUGAUCAGGUAAUGCAUUCCUUCUUAUUGGUUCUUUUAGGAACAAAAAUAUAACAUUUGUUUUACUACGGUUUCAUAUGUACAACCGGUGAUUGAUGAUACAAAACUGAACAAUAGAGUUCCGGGUGGUAACUGCUUAAAAUUGUAUCAAAAGAUAAAAAG
rnacentral:lncRNA from 1 species